rnacentral:rRNA from 1 species
ACGCUGGCGGCGUGCAUAACACAUGCAAGUCGAACGAUGAAGCUUAGAUGAUUUCUUCGGAAUGAACUUAAGUGGAUUAGUGGCGAACGGGUGAGUAACACGUGAGUAACCUGCCUUACACAAGGGGAUAGCCUCUGGAAACGGAGAAUAAUACCCUAUAAAGUCUAAUCAGCCCAUGCUGGAAAGACCAAAGAUUUAUCGGUGUAAGAUGGACUUGCGUCUGAUUAGCUAGUUGGUGAGAUAAAAGCUCACCAAGGCGACGAUCAGUAGCCGGCUUGAGAGAGUGUACGGCCACAUUGGGACUGAGACACGGCCCAAACUCCUACGGGAGGCAGCAGUGGGGAAUUUUGCACAAUGGGGGAAACCCUGAUGCAGCGACGCCGCGUGAUUUAGAAGGCCUUCGGGUUGUAAAAAUCUUUUUUACGGGAUGAAAAUGACAGUACCGUAAGAAUAAGGUCCGGCUAAAUACGUGCCAGCAGCCGCGGUAAUACGUAUGGACCGAGCGUUGUCCGGAAUCAUUGGGCGUAAAGGGUACGUAGGCGGCCUAGUAAGUUAGAAGUUAAAGAAUAUAGCUCAACUAUAUAAAGCUUUUAAAACUGCUAGGCUUGAGAGAUGGAAGGGAAAGUGGAAUUCCUAGUGUAGCGGUGAAAUGCGCAGAUAUUAGGAAGAAUACCGGUGGCGAAGGCGACUUUCUGGUCAUCAUCUGACGCUGAGGUACGAAAGCGUGGGUAGCAAACAGGAUUAGAUACCCUGGUAGUCCACGCUGUAAACGAUGAGUGUUAGGUUCUUGGAAUAAUCUGGGAGCCGCAGCUAACGCAUUAAACACUCCGCCUGGGGAGUACGCACGCAAGUGG